rnacentral:rRNA from 1 species
CCUACGGGGGGCAGCAGUGGGGAAUAUUGGACAAUGGGGGCAACCCUGAUCCAGCCAUGCCGCGUGUGUGAAGAAGGCCCUCAGGUUGUAAAGCACUUUCAGUGAGGAAGAACGCCUGGUGGUUAAUACCCAUCAGGAAAGACAUCACUCACAGAAGAAGCACCGGCUAACUCCGUGCCAGCAGCCGCGGUAAUACGGAGGGUGCGAGCGUUAAUCGGAAUUACUGGGCGUAAAGCGCGCGUAGGUGGCUUGAUAAGCCGGUUGUGAAAGCCCCGGGCUCAACCUGGGAACGGCAUCCGGAACUGUCAAGCUAGAGUGCAGGAGAGGAAGGUAGAAUUCCCGGUGUAGCGGUGAAAUGCGUAGAGAUCGGGAGGAAUACCAGUGGCGAAGGCGGCCUUCUGGACUGACACUGACACUGAGGUGCGAAAGCGUGGGUAGCAAACAGGAUUAGAUACCCGUGUAGUC